GGAUCUUUGCCUUCAAGGGGCCGUAACUGGGCGCAGCUCCAGCUGCGCAAUGCGGCAUUUGCAUCAAGCACCUUUUACAGCUUUCUCAGGAAUUGCCUUUUUUCUGAAGAUGGAGUUGCAGGAGUGAAGCCCUUAUUUUUCAUGGCACACACCCUUUGUUUCUACCACGUCUUGCAAGAGCAGACGCCUUGGGACGGUGGUGGACUCCUCGAUGCCAGGUUGAUACAUACGCCUCAUUAGCUUGUCCUUGUCAUGGGGACCUCCCUGGGCAUUACCAAGCCGGAGUGCCCAAGAGACUUUCUAGUUCUCAGUGGUUAUCACAUCAUAGAUGGGAAGUAAUAGAAGUGCUGAGAAUGUCCAAAAUGCCUGUUUUUGGAAAUAUUUAAGUUCUUUUAAUAUCUUUUAAUAUCUAGUUGAUCCUGGUGAGACGUGUGAACAAAAAGGCAUGUACUACAAUCUGCUCAUCAAAGGAAAGAAUAAUUAAAGUAGGAACAGGUGGAGAGUCUGCAGCUGAGAAGUGGACAGAGACACCUCCCGGGAAAGCAGAGGGCCCUGCGGGGUGCUGUGUGCCCGCAGGGGGGUCACCUGCCCCCUCCACCCCAGCACCUGCCACUUGGAGCAGACUGACUCAGGAGGCGGCUCUGACUCCAGGGCCUCCUGACACCUUUGCUGACAGAUCUGGACUUUUUUUUUUGGGAAAAAAAAUCCCGUCACUGGUGUGAUUAACUUGCAUCUAGUUCUGCUGCCAAUUGCCAGAGCUGUGGGAAGAGGAGAGAUGAGGAAACAGGAAGAGAAAUAGCUUGAAAGGCCAGAGGAGUAAGUUUGCACACGUUCCGCCACCCCAGCCUUCAGCUCCAGCUUUUAAGUCUUCAUCUGGCCGGCUGAGGUCAAAGUACUCUUUACUUCUCGUGAAAAAUGCUUCCCAGGGGACGCGUGCUGACUCUGGUUCUGAAACUGAUUAAUGCUCUUUGGGUCCCCAGAGAGCCAUUGCUAAGUGUCUAAGUUACAGUUUCAGAGGAAAUGGGAUGUGUUUUUAAACUCAUCUAAAAUGGCUUCAUGGAGGGUAAAUCUCAAGUUGCAUUUGUAAUGGGGGAAGC
rnacentral:lncRNA from 1 species